UCCUACGGGUGGCUGCAGUCGAGAAUCUUUGUCAAUGGACGAAAGUCUGAACAAGCGACGCCGCGUGCGGGAUGAAGGCCUUCGGGUUGUAAACCGCUGUCGUAGGGGAACAAAUGUACGGGGGUUCUCCCCUGUAUUUGAGUGAUCCUAGGAGGAAGGAGAGGCUAAGCUCGUGCCAGCAGCCGCGGUAAGACGAGCUCUCCAAACGUUAUUCGGUAUCACUGGGCUUAAAGAGUUCGUAGGCGGCCUAGCAGGUCAGGUGUGAAAUCCCACAGCUCAACUGUGGAAUAGCGCUUGAAACCGCUGGGCUUGAGGGAGAUAGAGGUAGGCGGAACAGAUGGUGGAGCGGUGAAAUGCGUUGAUAUCAUCUGGAACACCGGUGGCGAAAGCGGCCUACUGGGUCUUUUCUGACGCUGAGGAACGAAAGCUAGGGUAGCGAACGGGAUUAGAUACCCUUGUAGUCC
rnacentral:rRNA from 1 species